CUCAAAUAUUCGUGGUCUUCAUGCUCCAUCUCAAGAUGCAGACAAUGUCCAGAUUUUGAUGGUCAUCCUUCGUUUCUAAAGCCCUCAGAUUGGUCUAAAGGUGGAGGACUACAAGGGCUUGUCGGUUUGCAAAGCGUUGGUUCUUGAGAUGAGCUUAUGUGGAUCAUCUGGGAAGCUCAGGGAUGGAGCAGCAAUUCAAGGAGAUCUGGUUUGAAGUUUGGGAAGGCUUCAUUUGAUCUCUGGACUGCUUUGAUGUACGUUGAUGAAUAAGAGCACCCAUCCAAGAUACUAAGGGUUUGUUAUUUCCACCUUGAUUCCCAUUUUCUAGGGUAUCAACCAUCAUGUUGGUUAAUUGGUCGGCAAGAUAUGGCGUUUAUUGCUUCAGGUCCAAUUAAAAUGCUUCAGGUCCGACUAAAAUGUUUAUUGCUGCCAGUGGUCUCCUUAUUUUCUGAGAGAGAUACAGGAUUCUUGGGAGAAUGGCUCAUGUUUAUGACUGCCAGUGAUCUCCUUAUUUCAGAGAAUGUGCAUAAAGCUUCCGGCCUUCCCUAUAUA